AUAAGGGGAGAGAGUAAGAAAGCAAUGAGAUACACAUGUCUUGACUGCUUCUCUUCAUGCUGAAAUCCUGGGGGAAAGAAGUGCUAAAUCAGUUGAGGACAUGGGAACAUUUAUUCUGGCAUACUCGGCAAUUAUUCCAAAUAAUACAAAAUGAUUUACCAAAUAGGAAGAAAUUUGGGUACAGAGACAGACAAGCACCAAGAGAAGAUGAUGUGAAGAAGCACAGCGAGAACACCAUGUGAAAAUGGAGGACUGGAAUGAAGCAUCUACAAGCCAGGAAAUGUCUGAGGCUACCAGAAGCCAGGAGAGAGGCCUGGAACAGAUCCUGCA
rnacentral:lncRNA from 1 species